GCCGGAGUGGCGGAAUGGGCAGACGCGUCGGUCUCAAACACCGAUGAGGGCAACCUCGUGUGGGUUCAACUCCCACCUCCGGCACCA
rnacentral:tRNA from 1 species